UUUAAUUCGAUGAUACGCGAGGAACCUUACCUGGGCUUAAAUGCAUAAUGACAGACUGGGAAACCAGUCCUUCUUCGGACAGAAUGCAAGGUGCUGCAUGGUUGUCGUCAGCUCGUGCUGUGAGGUGUCGGGUUAAGUCCCAUAACGAGCGCAACCCCUAUUCUUAGUUGCCAGCGGAUAAUGCCGGGGACUCUAAGGAAACUGCCCGCGCAAGCGGUGAGGAAGGUGGGGAUGACGUCAAAUCAUCACGGCCCUUACGUCCAGGGCUACACACGUGCUACAAUGGUCGGUACAGAGGGCAGCUACCUGGUGACAGGAUGCUAAUCUUGAAAGCCGAUCUCAGUUCGGAUUGAAGUCUGCAACUCGACUUCAUGAAGCUGGAAUCGCUAGUAAUCGCGCAUCAGC
rnacentral:rRNA from 1 species